rnacentral:rRNA from 1 species
UGGGGAAUAUUGCACAAUGGGCGCAAGCCUGAUGCAGCCAUGCCGCGUGUAUGAAGAAGGCCUUCGGGUUGUAAAGUACUUUCAGCGGGGAGGAAGGCGAUAAGGUUAAUAACCUUGUCGAUUGACGUUACCCGCAGAAGAAGCACCGGCUAACUCCGUGCCAGCAGCCGCGGUAAUACGGAGGGUGCAAGCGUUAAUCGGAAUUACUGGGCGUAAAGCGCACGCAGGCGGUCUGUCAAGUCGGAUGUGAAAUCCCCGGGCUCAACCUGGGAACUGCAUUCGAAACUGGCAGGCUAGAGUCUUGUAGAGGGGGGUAGAAUUCCGGGUGUAGCGGUGAAAUGCGUAGAGAUCUGGAGGAAUACCGGUGGCGAAGGCGGCCCCCUGGACAAAGACUGACGCUCAGGUGCGAAAGCGUGGGGAGCAAACA